GAUGAAGAACGUAGCGAAAUGCGAUAAGUAAUGUGAAUUGCAGAAUUCAGUGAAUCAUCGAAUCUUUGAACGCACAUUGCGCCCGCUAGUAUUCUGGCGGGCAUGCCUGUUCGAGCGUCAUUUCAACCAUCAAGCCUUCGCUUGUGUUGGGGCCCCGCGGCUGCCGCGGUCCCCUAAAUCCAGUGGCGGGCUCGUCGUCGUACCGAGCGCAGUAGACAUCCUCGCUCCGGGAACCCGACGGGUGCCGGCCGUGAAACCCCCCACAUCAAGGUUGACCUCGGAUCAGGUAGGAAUACCCGCUGAACUUAAGCAUAUCAAUAAGCGGAGGA
rnacentral:misc_RNA from 1 species